rnacentral:rRNA from 1 species
UACGUAGGGUGCGAGCGUUAAUCGGAAUUACUGGGCGUAAAGCGUGCGCAGGCGGUUUUGUAAGACAGGCGUGAAAUCCCCGGGCUCAACCUGGGAAUGGCGCUUGUGACUGCAAAGCUAGAGUGCGGCAGAGGGGGAUGGAAUUCCGCGUGUAGCAGUGAAAUGCGUAGAUAUGCGGAGGAACACCGAUGGCGAAGGCAAUCCCCUGGGCCUGCACUGACGCUCAUGCACGAAAGCGUGGGAGCAAACAGG